AAGUCGUAACAAGGUUUCCGUAGGUGAACCUGCGGAAGGAUCAUUACCAAUCCAAAGUGACAGUGGUCAAGGUCAAACUUGGCUGCUGUUAACUAAACACUUGUGAACUGUAAACUUAGACAGAGUCUUGGACUGCCGCUGUCUGUGCCACAGACAGUAGGCUGAUCAUUGGAGACUGGUCUAUGAUCACUGCCGAAGCGAUUCGGCAAUGGUUUAGACUAAGGUCCUUUGAUGACUGACGCAAGUCAAAGUCCUUGCUUCCGUCGCUGUAUAUUGGCACUUAAUAUUUUAAAUGUCUAAGACCGUGACAAACUUUUAACGUAUUACAACCUUUAACAAUGGAUCUCUUGGCUCCU
rnacentral:misc_RNA from 1 species